rnacentral:rRNA from 1 species
UACGUAGGUGGCGAGCGUUGUCCGGAAUUAUUGGGCGUAAAGAGCAUGUAGGCGGCUUUUUAAGUCGGUCGUGAAAAUGCGGGGCUUAACCCCGUAUUGCGGUCGAAACUGGAGGGCUUGAGUGCAGGAGAGGAAAGGGGAAUUCCCAGUGUAGCGGUGAAAUGCGUAGAUAUUGGGAGGAACACCAGUGGCGAAGGCGCCUUUCUGGACUGUGUCUGACGCUGAGAUGCGAAAGCCAGGGUAGCAAACGGG